rnacentral:rRNA from 1 species
GACGAACGCUGGCGGCGUGCCUAAUACAUGCAAGUCGAACGCAUUUUCUUUCACGGUGGCUUGCGAGACCGAAAGAAAAUGGGUAGCGAACGGUGGAGUAACACGUGGUCAACCUGCCCAUCAGCGGGGGAUAACACUUUGAGACAGGGGCUAAUACCGCAUAAUUCUAUUUACCGCACGGUAGGGGGAUGGAAGGCGCUUUUGCGUAACUGAUGGAUGGAGCCGCGGUGGAUUAGCAAGGUGGUGGGGUGACGCCCUACCAAGGCGGGGAUGCGUAGACGACCGCGGAGGGUGGUCGGCAAAACUGGGACUGAGACACGGCCCAGACGACUACGGGAGGCCGCAGUAGGGAACGUUCGGCAAUGGAGGGAAAUCUGACCGAACAAGGCCGAGUGAGUUGCGGAGGGUCUCGGAUCGGAAAACUCUGUUGUUAGAGAAGAACAAGGAUGAGAGUGGAAAGUUCAUCCCUUGACGGUAUCUAACCAGAAAGCCACGGCUAACUACGUG